GAUGAACGCUGGCGGCGUGCCUAAUACAUGCAAGUCGAGCGAACAGACGAGGAGCUUGCUCCUCUGACGUUAGCGGCGGACGGGUGAGUAACACGUGGAUAACCUACCUAUAAGACUGGGAUAACUUCGGGAAACCGGAGCUAAUACCGGAUAAUAUAUUGAACCGCAUGGUUCAAUAGUGAAAUGGGGUUUUGCUGUCACUUAUAUAUGGAUCCGCUCCGCAUUAGCUAGUUGGUAAGGUAACGGCUUACCAAGGCAACGAUGCGGAGCCGACCUGAGAGGGUGACCGGCCCCACUGGAACAGAGACACGGCCCAGAAUCCUACGGGAGGCAGCAGUAGGAAAUCUUCCGCCAUGGGCGAAAGCUUGACGGAGCAACGCCGCGUGAGUGAUGAAGGUCUUCUGAUCGUAAAACUCUGUUAUUAGGGAAGAAAAAAUGUGUAAGUAACUAUGCACGUCUUGACGGUACCUAAUCAGAAAGCCACGGCUAACUACGUG
rnacentral:rRNA from 1 species